UCGGGGUGAGCGGCGGACGGGUGAGUAACGCGUGGGAACGUGCCCUUCUCUGCGGAAUAGCCUCGGGAAACUGAGAGUAAUACCGCAUACGCCCUUUGGGGGAAAGAUUUAUCGGAGAAGGAUCGGCCCGCGUUGGAUUAGGUAGUUGGUGGGGUAAUGGCCCACCAAGCCGACGAUCCAUAGCUGGUUUGAGAGGAUGAUCAGCCACACUGGGACUGAGACACGGCCCAGACUCC
rnacentral:rRNA from 1 species